rnacentral:rRNA from 1 species
UACGGAGGGGGCUAGCGUUGUUCGGAAUUACUGGGCGUAAAGCGCGCGUAGGCGGACCUGCAAGUCGGGGGUGAAAGCCCGAGGCUCAACCUCGGAGCUGCCUUCGAUACUGCGGGUCUCGAGUCCGGGAGAGGUGAGUGGAAUUCCUAGUGUAGAGGUGAAAUUCGUAGAUAUUCGCAAGAACACCAGUGGCGAAGGCGGCUCACUGGCCCGGUACUGACGCUGAGGUGCGAAAGCGUGGGGAGCAAACAGG